GAGGGUAUAGCUCAAGUGGUAGAGGUGUGCUUAGCAUGCACAAGGUCCUGGGUUCAAUCCCCAGUACCUCCA
rnacentral:tRNA from 1 species